GACGAACGCUGGCGGCAUGCCUAAUACAUGCAAGUCGAACGAACUCUUCGGAGUUAGUGGCGCACGGGUGCGUAACGCGUGGGAAUCUGCCCUUGGGUUCGGAAUAACAGUUGGAAACGACUGCUAAUACCGGAUGAUGACGAAAGUCCAAAGAUUUAUCGCCCAGGGAUGAGCCCGCGUAGGAUUAGCUAGUUGGUGAGGUAAAGGCUCACCAAGGCGACGAUCCUUAGCNGGUCUGAGAGGAUGAUCAGCCACACUGGGACUGAGACACGGCCCAGACUCCUACGGGAGGCAGCAGUAGGGAAUAUUGGACAAUGGGCGAAAGCCUGAUCCAGCAAUGCCGCGUGAGUGAUGAAGGCCUUAGGGUUGUAAAGCUCUUUUACCCGAGAUGAUAAUGACAGUAUCGGGAGAAUAAGCCCCGGCUAACUCCGUGCCAGCAGCCGCCGC
rnacentral:rRNA from 1 species